AUACGGAGGGGGUUAGCGUUGUUCGGAAUUACUGGGCGUAAAGCGCACGUAGGCGGACUGGAAAGUUGGGGGUGAAAUCCCGGGGCUCAACCCCGGAACUGCCUCCAAAACUUCCAAUCUAGAGAUCGAGAGAGGUGAGUGGAAUUCCAAGUGUAGAGGUGAAAUUCGUAGAUAUUUGGAGGAACACCAGUGGCGAAGGCGGCUCACUGGCUCGAUACUGACGCUGAGGUGCGAAAGCGUGGGGAGCAAACAGGAUUAGAAACCCCGGUAGUCC
rnacentral:rRNA from 1 species